rnacentral:rRNA from 1 species
ACCUAGUAAUAGGUAUGCUUUAGGAGGGGCUUGCGCCAUAUUAGUUAGUUGGUAGGGUAAUGGCCUACCAAGACGAUGAUGUGUAGCUGGACUGAGAGGUUGAACAGCCACAUUGGGACUGAGACACGGCCCAAACUCCUACGGGAGGCAGCAGUAGGGAAUUUUCGGCAAUGGAGGAAACUCUGACCGAGCAACGCCGCGUGAAUGACGAAGUACUUCGGUAUGUAAAGUUCUUUUAUCAAGGAAGAAAAGCAAAUGGCGAACCAUUUGUUUGCCGGUACUUGAUGAAUAAGCCCCGGCUAAUUAUGUGCCAGCAGCCGCGGUAAGACAUAAGGGGCAAGUGUUAUCCGGAAUUAUUGGGCGUAAAGGGUGCGUAGGCGGUCUAGUAAGUCAGUGGUGUAAUGGCAACGCUUAACGUUGUCCGGCUAUUGAAACUGCUAAACUUGAGUUAGAUAGAGGCGAGUGGAAUUCCAUGUGUAGCGGUAAAAUGCGUAAAUAUAUGGAGGAACACCAGAGGCGUAGGCGGCUCGCUGGGUCUUAACUGACGCUGAGGCACGAAAGCGUGGGGAGCAAACAGGAUUAGAUACCCUGGUAGUCCACGCCGUAAACGAUGAGUACUAAGUGUCGGGUUAAACCGGUACUGAAGUUAACACAUUAAGUACUCCGCCUGAGUAGUACGUACGCAAGUAUGAAACUUAAAGGAAUUGACGGGACUCCGCACAAGCGGUGGAUCAUGUUGUUUAAUUCGAAGAUACCCGAAAAACCUUACCAGGUCUUGACAUGUUUUUGCAAAAUGAUAGUAAUAUCGUGGAGGUUACCAGAAACACAGGUGGUGCAUGGUUGUCGUCAGCUCGUGUCGUGAGAUGUUAGGUUAAGUCCCUAAAACGAGCGAAACCCUUAUCGUUAGUUGCCAGCACGUUAUGGUGGGGACUUUAACGAGACUGCCAAUGAUAAAUUGGGAGGAAGGUGAGGAUCACGUCAAAUCAGCAUGGCCCCUUAUGACCCUGGGGCUACAAACGGUGAUACAAUGGCUGUUACAAAGGGUAGCUGAAACGCAAGUUCUUGGCCAAUCCCCAAAAACAGUCCCAGUCCGGAUUGAAGUCUGCAACUCGACUUCANGAAGUNGGAAUCGCUAGUAAUCGCGAAUC